AAGUUGACGGGGCCCGCACAAGCGGUGGAGCAUGUGGUUUAAUUCGACGCAACGCGAAGAACCUUACCAGGGCUUGACAUCCCCUGACCGCGUAUGAAAGUACGUUUUCACCCUCGGGUGACAGGGAGACAGGUGGUGCAUGGUUGUCGUCAGCUCGUGUCGUGAGAUGUUGGGUUAAGUCCCGCAACGAGCGCAACCCCUACGUUUAGUUGCUAACGCGUGAAGGCGAGCACUCUAGACGAACUGCCGUUGACAAAACGGAGGAAGGUGGGGAUGACGUCAAAUCAUCAUGCCCCUUAUGUUCUGGGCUACACACGUGCUACAAUGGCCGGCACAGACGGACGCAAAGCCGCGAGGGGGAGCCAAUCCCAAAAAGCCGCUCUCAGUUCGGAUUGCAGGCUGCAACUCGCCUGCAUGAAGCCGGAAUCGCUAGUAAUCGCGGAUCAGCACGCCGCGGUGAAUACGUUCCCGGGCCUU
rnacentral:rRNA from 1 species